AUGGGUAUAGCUCAGCCGGUAGAGCAGCGGUCUCCAAAACCGCAUACGGAGGUUCGAGUCCUCCCCCCAUG
rnacentral:tRNA from 1 species